GACGAACGCUGGCGGCGUGCCUAAUACAUGCAAGUCGAGCGCAGGAAACUGACGGAACUCUUCGGAGGGAAGGCAGUGGAAUGAGCGGCGGACGGGUAAGUAACACGUAAGGAACCUGCCUCAAGGAUUGGGAUAACUCCGAGAAAUCGGAGCUAAUACCGGAUAGUUCAACGGACCGCAUGGUCCGCUGAUGAAAGGCGCUCCGGCGUCACCUUGAGAUGGCCUUGUGGUGCAUUAGCAAGUUGGUGGGGUAACGGCCCACCAAGGCGACGAUGCAUAGCCGACCUGGGAGGGUGAUCGGCCACACUGGGACUGAGACACGGCCCAGACUCCUACGGGAGGCAGCAGUAGGGAAUCUUCCACAAUGGACGAAAGUCUGAUGGAGCAAUGCCGCGUGAGUGAUGAAGGUUUUCGGAUCGUAAAACUCUGUUGUAAGGGAAGAACACGUACGAGAGGGAAUGCUCGUACCUUGACGGUACCUUACGAGAAAGCCACGGCUAACUACGUGCCAGCCGCCGCGGUAAAAC
rnacentral:rRNA from 1 species